UACAGAGGUCUCAAGCGUUUGUUCGGAUUCAUUGGGCGUAAAGGGUGCGUAGGCGGUGCGGUAAGUCGGGUGUGAAAUCUUGGAGCUUAACUCCGAAACUGCAUUCGAUACUGCCGUGCUUGAGGACUGGAGAGGAGACUGGAAUUUACGGUGUAGCGGUGAAAUGCGUAGAUAUCGUAAGGAAGACCAGUGGCGAAGGC
rnacentral:rRNA from 1 species